rnacentral:rRNA from 1 species
GACGAACGCUGGCGGCGUGCCUAAUACAUGCAAGUAGAACGCUGAAGGAGGAGCUUGCUCUUCUGGAUGAGUUGCGCACGGGUGAGUAACGCGUAGGUAACCUGCCUGGUAGCGGGGGAUAACUAUUGGAAACGAUAGCUAAUACCGCAUAAGAGUAGAUGUUGCAUGACAUUUGCUUAAAAGGUGCAAUUGCAUCACUACCAGAUGGACCUGCGUUGUAUUAGCUAGUUGGUGGGGUAACGGCUCACCAAGGCGACGAUACAUAGCCGGCCUGAGAGGGUGAUCGGCCACACUGGGACUGAGACACCGCCCAGACUCCUAAGGGAGGCAGCCGGAGGGAAUCUUCGGCAAAGGACCGAAGGCUGACCGGGCAACGCCGGGUGGGUGAAUGAGGGUUUCGGAACGUAAAGAUCCGUUGUAAGGGAAGAACGAAUGUGGGAGUGGAAUAUGCACGCUGUGACGGUACCUAACCAGAAAGGGACGGCUAACUACGUG